CGACAAGGAGUCCAACAUGUGCGCGAGUCUAAGGGUUUAUUAAACCUGGAGGCGAAAUGAAAGUGAGACCCUUUUUGGGACAGGCCGAUCCCUUGUCAGGAAGAAUGGCUGUACAUGGUUGUAGGUGCAUGCUUGCGGCUGUUUGUGCAGUUUAUUGUUCUUGGCUGUCUAGCUGUCCUUUGGGAUGGUUGGAUUUUGGGCGCAGGCCGAGGACUUGCCAUAGUGCGGCGCGGGCAACGGGUUGCUUUCGGGCUUCCUUAUCCCGAUGUCCGCCGGCAAGUACCUGAGAGCGCAGCCGUUGGGACCCGAAAGAUGGUGAACUAUGCCUGGCGAGGACGAAGCCAGAGGAAACUCUGGUGGAGGUCCGAAGCAGUUCUGACGUGCAAAUCGAUUGUCAGAGCUGGGUAUAGGGGCGAAAGACUAAUCGAACCAUCUAGUAGCUGGUUCCCUCCGAAGUUUCCCUCAGGAUAGCUGGCUUUCAUUGAUUUGAUGAGUUUCAUCCGGUAAAGCGAAUGAUUAGAGGCCUUGGUGGUGCAAUGCCGUCAACCUAUUCUCAAACUUUAAAUGGGUGAGAUGUAGAGCUUGCUUGAGAGAGAUAUUUGAAGCUCUAUGUUAUUGAAUCAGAAUGCCUAGUGGGCCACU
rnacentral:rRNA from 1 species